rnacentral:rRNA from 1 species
CAGUCGCCACGGGAAUACAGAGGGUGCGAGCGUUAAUCGGAUUUACUGGGCGUAAAGCGUGCGUAGGCGGCUAAUUGAGUCGGAUGUGAAAUCCCCGAGCUUAACUUGGGAAUUGCAUUCGAUACUGGUUAGCUAGAGUGUGGGAGAGGAUGGUAGAAUUCCAGGUGUAGCGGUGAAAUGCGUAGAGAUCUGGAGGAAUACCGAUGGCGAAGGCAGCCAUCUGGCCUAACACUGACGCUGAGGUACGAAAGCAUGGGGAGCAAACAGGAUUAGAGACCCUGUAGUCCCUGUCUCUUAUACC